rnacentral:misc_RNA from 1 species
AGCCAUGCAACAAUAACAAAUAAGCGGCCCACAGAGCGAGGAGGAGGCUGGCAGGCAGAAGGAUAAAGAACUCGACUCCCAGCUCAACCGGAGCGGCGGCAAGAAAUCUGCAUAAUGAAGCGUAAUACGCAAAUGGUGUGGAGUUGUGAUUGGACCCGGAUUCCGCGAAUUGAGCUGCUCAAAUCGGGUGCAAACAGGAAGAAGCUUACGUAUCCCUCAGGAUUCUUAAAUAUUCGCGAUACGCGCUGUCACUUGAAUUGUAAAUAUCAAACAGGUUCAUUUAAAAUUAAUAGCCAACUGCCCAGCUAUUAGCCCCACAUCCUGAAUAAACUUUUAUAAUUCUUUUUAUAGAUCCGCAACAAGCGCAUAUUUCAAUAAUGGCAUCCAAUCCAAUUUCUUGGACUCGAGAGCGCACCCCUUGAAGUUAUUAAAAGAUUUGUGGGGCCCAGGAUCAGGGGUCAAGAGUAACCACCCCUUUAGCCCCUCACACUGAAUGAAUCUGGAAUCUGAAAUCAGGAAGCCAAGAGGAGUAUAGUCACUUUCGAUACGCCUCUUUGGCAGCAGUUUGUUUGGGCGUGUUAAAAGUUAAAAUAAAUCAAACUGCCAUAAAUUUCCCGCUUUCGGCAAU